AGCAGAUUAGUGUAAUAGAUAACACGUUUGGCUCAUGACCAAAAGAGUAUUGGUGCAAUUCCUUUAUCUGCAU
rnacentral:tRNA from 1 species